rnacentral:lncRNA from 1 species
AAAAUAUUACUCCAUUUAAUCCAAUUAAUACAUUGUUUAUCCUCCUUCCCAUGCCAUAAGAAUAUACUUUGAAUAUUUAUAAUUCCUUGAAUUAUUUUCUUGGGUACCUUGUAAAAUGACAUGAAAUAUACUAGAAUAUUUGACAACACUUAGUUGAACAGUGUAACCCUUCCCCCAAUGGAAUGAUAUAUACCUUUCCACUUUGACAAUCUCUUCCUUAAAUUUACCAUGUAAC